UUUGUAUUACGUGCGGAAAUUGUUACCAUUUUCGGCUCAAAAAUGGUAACAAUUUCCGCAUGUAAGGCUAU
rnacentral:miRNA from 1 species